UACGGGGGGUGCGAGCGUUGUCCGGAAUCACUGGGCGUAAAGGGCGCGUAGGUGGCCUGAUAAGGGUGUGGUGAAAGUCCGGGGCUUAACCCCGGAUCUGACGUGCCGACUGUUAGGCUAGAGUGCUGUAGGGGCAGGCGGAAUUCCGGGUGUAGCGGUGGAAUGCGUAGAGAUCCGGAGGAAGACCGGUGGCGAAGGCGGCCUGCUGGGCAGAUACUGACACUGAGGCGCGACAGCGUGGGGAGCAAACAGG
rnacentral:rRNA from 1 species